CAGGACGAACGCUGGCGGCGUGCUUAACACAUGCAAGUCGAACGGGAUCCAUCGGGCUUUGCUUGGUGGUGAGAGUGGCGAACGGGUGAGUAAUGCGUGACCGACCUGCCCCAUACACCGGAAUAGCUCCUGGAAACGGGUGGUAAUGCCGGAUGUUCCAGUUGAUCGCAUGGUCUUCUGGGAAAGCUUUCGCGGUAUGGGAUGGGGUCGCGUCCUAUCAGCUUGACGGCGGGGUAACGGCCCACCGUGGCUUCGACGGGUAGCCGGCCUGAGAGGGCGACCGGCCACAUUGGGACUGAGAUACGGCCCAGACUCCUACGGGAGGCAGCAGUGGGGAAUAUUGCACAAUGGGCGCAAGCCUGAUGCAGCGACGCCGCGUGAGGGAUGGAGGCCUUCGGGUUGUAAACCUCUUUUAUCGGGGAGCAAGCGUGAGUGAGUUUACCCGUUGAAUAAGCACCGGCUAACUACGUGCCAGCAGCCGCGGUAAUACGUAGGGUGCAAGCGUUAUCCGGAAUUAUUGGGCGUAAAGGGCUCGUAGGCGGUUCGUCGCGUCCGGUGUGAAAGUCCAUCGCUUAACGGUGGAUCCGCGCCGGGUACGGGCGGGCUUGAGUGCGGUAGGGGAGACUGGAAUUCCCGGUGUAACGGUGGAAUGUGUAGAUAUCGGGAAGAACACCAAUGGCGAAGGCAGGUCUCUGGGCCGUUACUGACGCUGAGGAGCGAAAGCGUGGGGAGCGAACAGGAUUAGAUACCCUGGUAGUCCACGCCGUAAACGGUGGAUGCUGGAUGUGGGGCCCGUUCCACGGGUUCCGUGUCGGAGCUAACGCGUUAAGCAUCCCGCCUGGGGAGUACGGCCGCAAGGUUGAAACUCAAAGGAAUUGACGGGGGCCCGCACAAGCGGUGGAGUAUGUGGUUUAAUUCGACGCAACGCGAAGAACCUUACCAAGACUUGACAUUGAUUGAAAGACUUAGAGAUAAGUUCCUUCUCUUCGGAGAACAAGAAAACAGGUGGUGCAUGGCUGUCGUCAGCUCGUGUCGUGAGAUGUUGGGUUAAGUCCCGCAACGAGCGCAACCCCUAUACUAUGUUGCCAGCAUUACGGAUGGGAACUCAUAGUAGACUGCCGCGGACAACGCGGAGGAAGGCGGGGAUGACGUCAAGUCAUCAUGCCCCUUACGUCUUGGGCUACACACGUACUACAAUGGGAUGAACAGAGGGAAGCGAAAUCGCGAGGUGGAGCGGAUCCCUAAAAGCAUCUCUCAGUUCGGAUUGUAGGCUGAAACUCGCCUACAUGAAGUCGGAAUCGCUAGUAAUCGCAGGUCAGCAUACUGCGGUGAAUACGUUCCCGGGCCUUGUACACACCGCCCGUCACACCACGAAAGUCAUUCACACCCGAAGCCGGCUAAGGGCCUAUGGUACCGACCGUCUAAGGUGGGGGCGAUGAUU
rnacentral:rRNA from 1 species